UUGCUUUCUCAUCACAGUUUCAACAAUUUUAAAUUUGCACGAAGUAUGAAUAAAUCACCACACCCAAGGCUGUAAAUUUCUGCCACGUUACUGAUAAAACUUAUGUCAUUGGUCUUGUAUCAGAUUCUGUUAUUGUUUGAACUACUAGAUUUAAUUUUGAUCCAUGUCUCUUUGUUUAUCAUGUUAAUUGCAUCAAUACAUGUAAUAAAGAUGGAAGCUGUUAGGAUCCUUUCUUUUAGUAAGAAAUAAUUCUUAGAGGAAUGGUGUAAAAACAGAUUCAAACGAAUACAGUUUGCAACAAAUGAAUGUUUCUUAUUGGUAUAUUGAGAUUGAAAGAAAAUAUUACAAAAGGUUUACAAUGAAUAAGAUAACCUUGCUGCACUCAAGGCUACCCCAAGGGAGCACUCUUCUCUCACUAGAGCAUUCUCUAGUUUACAACUUUCAUAAAAUGAAUUCACCCCUUCUCCUAAAGGGAGGUUAGUCCUAUUUAUAAACCAUAAGAUCAACAACAACUAAAACAGAAAAUCUAACAAACUUAACAAUUAAACUAACCCCUAACUAACUUCUUAACUUCAAUCCUUACAAAUUCUCCUAUAUUCUAGGACUUAACAUAAUUUGACAUACUCAAGUCCCUAAAUGCUGACAUGAAGUUAAUUGGGCUAAGUAAUUUGAUGCACAAUUAAUGUGUUUCUGGAGGUUUGUCUGGUUUGCUUCUGAGAUUCAUAAGACUUCAAAUUUGGACUAUGAUUGUAUAAGGCUCUUGCUAAGCUAAGCUUGUUGGACUAUGAUUGUAUAAGACUCUUGCCUUCUAUUGGGUCUGCAUCUAUUUUAUUUCUAUAAAAGAAUAUGGUGGUUUCUGUAUUUCAAUGCACUUAAAGUUGAGUAUCUAUCUAUUGUAGACUUUAUCUCUAUGUGAAUGUUUUGGUUAUAUUCAGAAUGUUUUGGUUAUAAAAGAAUGUGUUCUCAUUUUACAUGAUUUGUAUUUGUCGAGAAGGGCAGAAUCCUUGAAAGCUGUUUGCGAUAAAUACAAGCGACAGAAGGUUUUAAAGAUGGAAACUGAUAUACUCAAGAUCCUAAAUUUUGAAAUGGGCAGCCCUAAUGUAAACACAUUUCUAAAGAGUUGUGUAGGGAUUGCUUCUGAGAACAAAAAGAUUGAGUGACUUAGAAAUCUUUGUCUGCAACAGUUUCAAUGUGUGGCAAAUCUGCCUUCUCCGCCAGAGGUACUAAAACAUUACUUUGAAGAAGAGUGAUGCAUUGCAGGAAGUAUGAAUAAAUCACCACACCCAAGGUUCUACACCCUUUAAAUUUCUGCCACGUUACCGAUAACACUUGUGUCAUUGGUCUUGUAUUAAAUUUUGUUCUUGUUUGAACCACUAGAUUUAAUUUUGAUUCAUGUCUCUUUGUUUAUCAUGUUAAUUGCAUUAAUACAUGUAAUAAAGAUGGAAGCUGUUAUGAUUU